rnacentral:rRNA from 1 species
GAUGAACGCUGGCGGCGUGCCUAAUACAUGCCAGUCGAGCGAACGGACGAGAAGCUUGCUUCUCUGAUGUUAGCGGCGGACGGGUGAGUAACACGUGGAUAACCUACCUAUAAGACUGGGAUAACUUCGGGAAACCGGAGCUAAUACCGGAUAAUAUUUUGAACCGCAUGGUUCAAAAGUGAAAGACGGUCUUGCUGUCACUUAUAGAUGGAUCCGCGCUGCAUUAGCUAGUUGGUAAGGUAACGGCUUACCAAGGCAACGAUGCAUAGCCGACCUGAGAGGGUGAUCGGCCACCCUGGAACUGAGACACGGUCCAGACUCCUACGGGAGGCGGCAGUAGGGAAUCUUCCGCAAUGGGCGAAAGCCUGACGGAGCAACGCCGCGUGAGUGAUGAAGGUCUUCGGAUCGUAAAACUCUGUUAUUAGGGAAGAACAUAUGUGUAAGUAACUGUGCACAUCUUGACGGUACCUAAUCAGAAAGCCACGGCUAACUACGUG